GCCGAACUCAGCACCUAAGUGAUGUGACUCUCCUGUUUUGCCUGGGCCCUGCAUAUAUUUGGCACUGUGACAAAUCUCUGGAACAAAUACCCAGGGCAUGAGAGGCUCCUGCCUGGGACCUGCCCAAAAGCGGCCUUUUGGCAUAUCUCUGCAUCAAUUAACUAGCAGAUAUAACUCUUCUUUUCUGCCUAGGUUCUGCCAAAACAAGUGAUUGCGACAUAUCAUUGGACCAGCAACUAGAUGAUGUGACUCUUCUCUUCUGCCUGAGCCCUGGAUAUACUGUGUAUUGUGACACAUGGCUGAGUCCAACAUCAAGGUGAUGUGACUGACCACUUCUGCCUGGGCCAUGCUGAAAAAAGGAGAUUGUGACAUAUCACUGCAUUCAAUACCUAGAUG
rnacentral:lncRNA from 1 species